rnacentral:lncRNA from 1 species
UUUUACUCUUACACAUCUGCUGUUGACGCCUCUUUUCCCCAUUGUUGCAUCAUGGAAAGUUUGCGAAACGCUAAUGAUUCGGGACACUUCCUUAAUUCCAAACAUUUUAUGGUUUGAAUACACACACGCUCGCACAGAGAAUCGAGCAAGAAGCCGGAAACUUGCAUCAAUGAAGAGCCAGUAAUUUCAGUUGUUAACAUGAUUGCUACUUUUUUUUUCUUUUUUUUGAAGUGGUUGUUUGGGCUGUUGGGUAUUCUUGAAUAAACUUAAAUCAUGCACUCCACUAAGUUAAUUGAAAAAACAUUUGAUAUAUAUUUUAGACACAACUGAAUUAUAAUACUAUGAGUUACAAUAUAAUUAAAUACUCAUCUCAAUUGUGGUUUAGUUUAUUUAUGGUUUUAUUAAUUAUAAUUUUAUACCUGGAAUAUGACAGGCUAUCCAUAUAUGUGAACUGCCAACUUUGUUGAUAAAAUAUUAAGUGUUAAAUAGUAUUGUUAGAUCUCUCAUAGAAUUAUGAAUAUUUAUUUUUUUUUCUAUGAUAUUGUUUCAUGUAGACGUAUAUGUGUUCUAGUAUGUGGUGAAACCCACACUUGUGACUGCUUAAAAUUCAUGAUUUUUUGUCAAUUUUAUUUGCAUCUUACACUGAAAACCCUGGAAAUAAUUAUUGCAGUCAUUUUAGCACUGUUUAAAGUGUAAUGCACUAGUCCCAUUGUAAGUAGGAAUGUUCAACAGAAGACCAAAUGGACUUCUGCAAUAGAUGCCCUGCCAAUAAAGGUUGUUUGUAUAA